CUAUUUAAAUUUUUUUGCAACUUAGAAUUUGGAAAUUCGAAAAAUCUUGUGGUUUUUAAGGCUUGAGUUUUCAAAGUAAUUUCGAAUACGAACUAAGUCAAGAAAAUUCAAAGCAAAAAGAAAUAUCCUAGAAUUUAACCAAGUAAAGAAUCAUGGAACUAAACCUGGUUUAAGACCUGAAUACUAACAGGUAUAUGCGAAAAGGUGAUUAAACUCCUAAAUACAACCAUGUCCAUGACCUAAAAUUAACUUAUCAAGCUGUCAAGCAUAUGCCUAAAUCUAAAAAAGUGCUCACUACAACUAUGCAAGUGUAUAAAAACUUUUAAAGUUUAAAAACACGAUAAUAAUUAAUAGAAGGCAUAUAGCAUAAUGAUUGUGCAUAAUAUAAACAUAUAUAUAUAUAUAUGUAAAUUGAAAACGAGGAUAAUUAACCUUAGACCGCGCCCUAAGGAAAUUUUCUCGGCCUAAAAAGCCCAAUUACAAGGGAUGUAGGCAUCCCCAAAAGAAAAAUAACAAGUAUAACAACAAAUAAAGAAGAGCCUCUAAACCCUGAGCUCCGGUAACAUGCCCUUGGGAUAAUACCUCCUCCUCCCCACUAUCUCUGCUAGUUACGGAUGUUGUGAUAACCGUUUUCGCGAGCUCCUUCACCAACUGCUCUUGGAAAUUGGUGAGGUAACGUCCCUAGAGUUUAGCGUCAAGGAAAGAGAAUUCCCCAUCCUGGUUGAAACACUAGACCCAAUAAAAGAUCUUUCCAAUGCAUCCUCCUGCUCGGCGUCGCUCCCCUUCACCUUCAGGUUUAGUUCCUCGAUCUAGGCAGCGCUCUUCUUAUCCACUAGUUGGAGCCUCUUGACCUCAUUUUGAAGCUAGGCGCGGCUUUGGAUCACUUCCAAAGCCUACGCUUUGGAAAUAUUUUCGUUAUUCCGAAAGGUAUCUAGGUUUUCCUUAACCUUUUCCAGCUCCUUGGUGGCUCGUUCCCCCUCGACAAGGGCAGAGCGAAUCUGCUAUCUAGUACGUAUCUAGGCAAAGUAGGACUGCAUUGAAAUUCAAAUAAGGAAUUAAUUCGCAAAAUAAUAAUAAUAAUAUAUGGGGAGUGUAAAAGACAAUAAGAGAACUCACAAUCAAUGAAAUCCCUAGGGCGGAGUCGAGGACGACUAUGGAAAGAUUCUUUUCAAUAGCCUCUAGCUCCCUCGAAGUGAGCUGGUUGAUAUGCCCGAUCACGUGACUGGUGAUACCUUGGAGCGGAGCCCGCAAGUGCCCCGGAUGCUUGUUAGCCUCAAUGGGAGGACGUGACAUUGUGGGAGGAGUUGCAUUAAUGACUUGGGGAACCGAGGAGACGUCCUAGGGGGCUGAAGUGUAGCGUCUCAAAAUUUUACUUAGCGAUAUAAUAGUAGUUGUAGUAGCUAGUAGUAGCUUGUAGUAUUUUAUUUUUCGUGGAUAUUGGUUCAAGCUAGGAUUUAGUUGGAAACUCAUAGAAAAAGUUAUAGAUUUUAUAAAAUUUAACCUAAAGUAUAGAAGUAUUAAUUAUAACAUAAGGAUUGAUUAAUAUAGCUGGUGUAACGCCCUGGAGAGCCAAGACUGCUACAGUGUGUACUCAUAAAGGUGCCGGACUUGCUAAUCAAGUCAUUUAGUGAAAAACGUGAUAUAGAAACCACUACUGAACUAGGGUUAAAAGGUUUUGGUCUGAAAAGGGUACAUUUCAUAUAACUAAGCAUUUUUACACAUGGGAUCCCAAAAAGAAACAAUGUUCAAAAGUCAGUUCACAAAAUUUCCAGAGUUCAAACAACCAUUAGCCACUCUAAGGGCAAAACAAACAUUUCUGGUCCUCCUGUUCCUGUCUCCCUCUCAACCGUGGCGGCUGAGCAGCUGAUCAUGUACAUUCUGCUCUCAGAGCUCUCCGAGACAGGGAUGAUCAAUCUUGCCCUUGCCCUUACCUGCACCACGAAGCACCCAUUAGCAUAGGCCCAGCAAGAAAACAUAACAUUACAUAACAAGCAAUGAUAACAGUUGAAUAACCCUUUAAGCAUGUUCAUAUACUUAGCACACCACAAUGGUCACAAAACACGAAGAUUCAAUCAUAUAUUAAGCGAAUCAACACCCAGCUAUACAACAUAACAAUCUACAAAUUAAUAAUAACAAUCAAGUCACACAGUAAUCAGGGUCGACACCUUAAGUCGCACCCUCUGUUUAAUCCACUGAAUCCAGCCCGCUUAAACCGAGCUUAGUGCAUAAUAAGUUGUCCUCAGCUACCAGUGGCCGAGCCACGCCCUGUUCGCUAUUGUAAACUUCGGUACUCUUAGGCCAGUUAUUUACUAUUUUCAUGGCAUAAUACCAUCCUUCAUAAAGCAUACAAAUAGGGAACCCUUAGUCCCGUUAUAAAUCCAUAAUCAGAUGUAGUUUUCUUACCUUUAGUUUCCAAGUGUACUGAUUGUGCAAGAUUCCUCUUCAGCACGAUUCGUUUCCUGAGCCCCUAGCUUAUACCUAGUCACAACCAAGAUAAAUGAUACCAUUAAUGAUCGCAAAAGGGCUUCUAGAUAAAGUUCUAGUCUCCGAAACAUUGAAUUCCACCAAACACCGUAGUAGAUUCAAUCCCGAGCACCCUAGGUAAAAUUCCCAUGCUUAAACCCAUAAUUCAAACACUAAAUCAUGAAUUAGAGCUUACCUUCUUUGAUGAACCAACUCCCUUAACGAUUUCUGAGCUAAAACCCAUGCUUUCUAGAUUCGAUUCAAUCCUUAAAUUUACAAACCAUAAACACUUUAAAACCCAGCCAAAACACAGAAUUAAUCUCCAUGCACAAAGCUUAUAUCUUACCUCAGUUCUUGAUUGAACUCCUUAGCUGAACACUAGACUAAUCCUUCAAGACUCCAGCCCAAACCACUGAAUUCCCAGCUGAAUUCCUUAAGUUUUCUGUGGUUUUUCCUUGAGAGAGAAAGGAAGAAAGAAGGAGGGUCGGUUCAUUGUAUUCUACUAUGUUAUGAGAUUUUACUUAGUCUAUCCUUAGGUGAUUCAAUUAAUCCCAAGGCUCGGGGUGCCGAAAACGUCCCUGAGGGCAAAAUGGUAAAAUUCCCUAGCAUUCCUGCCUAAGCUUACUAACCUCAAAUAUAUCUCCAAUUAUUUAUUUCCAUAACUCGCUAAUCUAAAGUAACCUUCCAAUACUUAAAAUACCCCUUGACUUGCCAAAAGUCAAGUAUUAAGCCCCGUUGUGACUUUCCCGCUAACUAGCUCCCUAGAAUCGCCUUAAGUCGCAUGCUGCAGAUUUACCCACAUAAUAAUGUGGUUCUCACAAUUAAAGCACAUAAUCACAUUUAUAUUCAUAUAAUCACACUAGUAUAUGCUUAUCAUAUAAUCACGCGUUAAACUUAAUAAAUUCACACAUAAACCAAUUAUGCCCUCCCGGCACACUAAUCAAGGCCCUUAAGCCUUAUUAGUUAUUUUGGGUCAUUACAGCUGGUCCUAGAAAUAUUAUUUAAUAUAUCCUAAGGUUUAGAUAGAAUAAUUAAGAGCAUGACACUUGUCACAAGGAUGUUUAUUAAGGAUUUAAGGAUUUUAGAUGAAUAAUUUAAAUAAGGAUAAAUCUGCAAGCUCUAGAACCUUCCAGUAGCUGUUAGGAUCACGUUUUACUCAGUGAAAGUUGUUUUAACAAACUUCACGUGUGCUGAAAGUGUGCAAAAAAUGUGUUUAAAAUAUCAAUGUAUGCCGAUAUAUCACAACUAUAGGGGUCGAUAUGUCGCCUAAGGUUGAUACAAAAAACACGUCGACUUCGCACGAACGAAAUCAUGGAAGCUCGAGGCAUAGGUAGGGGCAAUAUAUUGCCUAAGGUAGGCGAUAUAUCGGCUCUUGAAGCCAUUUUUGAAACUUUGUGGAUUUAAAUUAGAAAUAACUCUCAACCACUUGGGAUCCGCGUAGCUUUUCUGUCUACUCUGCGAAGCAAGCAUUCUGGCUCGGAUCUUCUCAAUAGCUUCAUUUGUCUUCUGAACCAUAUCUGGCCCCAAAUAUUUUCUUUCACCCAUGUCAUCCCAAUGAAUGGGUGACCUACACUUCCUUCCGUAUAACAUCUCGUAAGGAGCCACUCCAAUCAUGGAUUGAUAACUAUUGUUAUACGAAAAUUCAAUCAACGAGAGAUACUUACUCCAUGACCCCUCGAAGUCAAUCACACACGCCCUAAGCAUAUCUUCUAACACCUGAAUCGUUCCCUCAGACUGUCCAUCAGUUUGAGUAUGAAAAGUUAUGCUAAACUUCAACUCAGUCCCCAUGGCUCUCUGCAGAGCUCCCCAAAACUUGGAGAUAAAGAAAGGGUCUCGAUCAGAUACAAUAGACAUAGGAACCCCAUGGAGAUGAACUAUCUCCCUCACAUACAACUCUGCAUACUGUUCCACUGUGUAAGUUGACUUUACUAGCAGAAAAUGAGCUGACUUGGUGUAUCUGUCCACUAUCACCCACACUGAGUCACAAAGUCCCACUGUCCUGGGUAGACCUCCCACAAAAUCCAUCAUAAUGUCUUCCCCAUUUCCACUCAGGAAUACCCAAAGGCGGAAGCAACCCUACUGGUCACUGAUGCUUAGCUUUCACCUGUUGGCAUGUCAAACAUCUGGCCACAUACUCUACUACAUCCUUCUUCAUCCUGGGCCACCAAUAUAACGUCUGUAGAUCCUGAUACAUCUUCGUGAUACCCGAAUGAAGCGAGUAUGGCGUAGUGUGAGACUCAUCCAGUAUCUCUCGUCUGAUCCCCUCAUCUGCCAGAACACAAAUCCGUCCCUGAUAUCGAAGCAUAACAACCUCAGAAACAGAAUAGUCCUUAGCUAUCCCUGCUAAGACAUUCUGCCUAACUUCCUAUAACUGUGCAUCUACCAACUGCCCCUCCUGGAUCCGCUCUAGCAGAGUCAACUGCAAGGUAAUAUUGGCCAACCGGCCCACCAUUAGCUCUAUCUUUGCCCUGGCCAUCUCAUCAGCUAAUUCUCUCGAGAUCUGGGUGGAACUAUACAACUGACCUCGACCCCUCCGGUUAAAUGCAUCCGCCACUACAUUGGCUUUCCCUGGAUGAUAAAGAAUAUCAUAAUCAUAAUCUUUAACCAGCUCCAACAAAUGCCUCUACCUCAUGUUCAGAUCCUUCUGGGUGAAGAAAUACUUCAAACUCUUAUUGUCAGUGUAUAGCUCGCACUUCUCCCCAUACAGGUAAUGCCACCAAAACUUUAGUGCAAAUACCACUGCCGCCAACUCCAAAUCAUGGGUAGGAAACUGCUGCUCAUAUUCAUUCAGCUGCCACAAUACAUAAGCUAUAACUUUCUCAUUCUACAUCAACACACAACCUCUCGAUGCAUCACAGUAUACUACAUACUUUCCUUCAUCCGAAGGAAGACUCAGUACAGGUGCAGUAAUAAGUCGUCGCUUCAAUUCUUGGAAACUGUUCUCACACUUCUCUGAUCAAACGAAAUUCUGAUUCUUUCUUGUCAGCUCUGUCAUUGGUGAAGAAAUCUUCGAAAACCCCUCUACAAGCCGCUUGUAAUAGCCUACCAACCCAAGAAAACUCUGCACUUCUGAGGCAUUCCUUGGCCUCGCCCAAUCUCUCACUGCUUCCACCUUGGACAGAUCCACCUUAAUCCCUUUUGUGCCAACCAUAUGCCCAACAAAAGUCACCUCAGGCAACCAAAACUCACAUUUCUUAAAUUUGGUGUAUAACUGAUGCUCCCUUAACCUCUGUAAAACCUGUCGUAGAUGCCGCUCGUGCUCUGCCUCUGAACUGGAGUAUACUAAGAUGUCAUCGAUGAAGACAAUGAAAAAUUGAUCCAAGAAGUCCUUGAACACCCUGUUCAUUAGAUCCAUAAAAGCUACCGGGCGUUGGUCAAACCAAGAGACAUGACCAAGAAUUCAUAGUGCCCAUACCGUGUUCGGAAGGUCGUCUUCGGUAUGUCCUUGUCCUUGAUCCUCAGCUAGUGAUAACCAGAUCGAAGAUCAAUCUUUGAGAACAUCAUAUUUCCCGGAAACUGAUCGAACAAGUCAUCAAUCCUUGGUGGAAGGUACUUAUUCUUAAUAGUUAACUUGUUCAAUUCCCUAUAGUCUAUGCACAUUCUCAUAGUCCCGUCUUUCUUCUUAACAAACAACACUGGAAUGCCCCAUGGAGAGUAACUAGGCCUGAUGAAUCCCAAAUCCAGAAGUUCCUGCAACUGUAUCUUCAAUUCCUUCAACUCUGCUGGUGCCAUCCUAUAUGGUGCUCUUGGUACUGGUUCUGUCCCCGGUGCUAACUCAAUAACAAAUUGGAUCUCCCUACGCGACAGCAACCCUGGUAACUCCUCAGGGAAUACGUCUAAAAACUCACAAACCAUCCUGGCCUCUGCCGGCUCCGCUGGCAACACCCUGGUAUUGUCCACCACACUAGACAGAAAACCUAUACAUCCACCCUGUAACAAGUCUCUCACUUUUAAUGCUGAAAUCAUGGGUAUGCGGGGUCCACAUACCGCACCCACGAAGACAAAAGGAUCCUCGCCCUCAUGCUCAAAAGUCACCAUCUUCUUCCUGCAGUCAAUAGUGGCCCCAUACCUGACCAACCAAUCCAUCCCUAAGAUCAUAUCAAAAUCCUCCAUGUCUAAGUCAAUCAGAUCUACUGAAAGCUCCCUACUAUCAACCAUCACUGGCAGUGCCCUAAUCCAUCUCCUAGAAACUACUAAUUCACCUGUAGGCAAUAAAGUCCCAAACCCUACAGUCCGAUACUCCCUAGGUCUACACAGUCUAUCAAUCACUUUACUAGAAACAAAGGAAUGUGUAGCACCAGAAUUAAUAAAUACGGUAAAAGGAGAGCCAGCGCUGGAAAGCUGACCUGUCACUACCGAGGGACUAGCCUCGGCCUCUGCCUAUGUCAAGGUGAAUACUUGAGCUGGAGUUAAGCUAUCCACCUUUCCUACUUCCCCUUUCUUCAUCGUUGGGCAGUCCUUCUUGAGAUGUCCCACCAUUCCACACACAUAACAAGCCUUGGCUCGACAUUCACCGUGAUGGCGUCUUCUACACCUCAGGCACUCCGGAUAACUCCUCCAUGGUUCACUGCUACCCUGAUGGCCACCCUAACUACCCCGACCCCUCCUAUUAAGACCAACAACGGUCGAAGAGUCAGGAGUAUUUCUCUUGAAAUCACUGGGGCCUCUGCCCCUACCUGACCCAGAAUAAGGAGGCACCACUCUGCGGCCCUCCCGCUUUACUGCACUUUACCUCCAGAUCUUAUUCUCCGCUUCCUCAGCAGUAAGAGCCUUCUCCACUACUUGGGCAUAAGUUUUCCCCCCGGGAACUGUCGUAAUCCUCACAUCUCGAGCUAUCAUAGCAUUAAGCCCUCUGAAAAACCUGUCCUGCCUAGCUGCAUCUGUAGGCACAAGGUCUAGUGCAAACUUCGCGAGUCUAUCAAACUUCAGGGCAUAUUCUGUAACUAUCAUGCUGCCCUGAACCAACCCUACAAACUCAUUUACCUUCGCCGCCCUGAUGGCAACAUUAUAGUAUUUCUGGCUGAACAAAUCUUUAAAUCCUUCCCAACUUAAAGCAGUGAUGUCCCUAGUCUGUGAUGCCACUUCCCACCAAAUGUGGGCUUCCUCUCUCAACAUAUAUGUGACAUAGGCCACUCUGUCAUGCCCCUCUAUCCUCAUAAAAUACAGAAUAGUAGUAAUCAUAGUCAGCCAUUGCUCGACCUUCAGUGGGUCAAGUCCUCCCUCAAAAGUUGGGGGAUGCUGCUUUCUGAACCGCUCAUAUAAUGACUCCCACCUGUUCCCAACCUCUCCUGGAUGUACAACUGGUACCACUACAGGUGGUACGAUAGGGGCAGUACUCCCUGAUGGAGCCUGCUGUCGCAGAAUACGGAUCUGCUCAUCCUGGCUCUGCAGCCGUGCUUGCAUAUCUGCCAUAAAUUGCAGCCGGUUCUCAGGGACUGACAGAGGAAUCUGGCCCUAGUCAUCACCCCCGGUCCCAGACCUAGUGUUGGCUAGUCGUGUAGAUUUUCUUGGAUGCAUAGCUAUCCAAGUAGUUAUGCAAUCAACAACUCGACAAUCAGACCAUGAUGGUAGGGUAAAAGUUUCUCCAAAAUCCACCAAAGGAACAUAACCAAUCACAAACAAUCAAAAUAUAGGCAUUUAUCCACAUGCACUGGCAUUUCUAAUAAGCAUGCCCAAACAUUACCACUCAACAACUAAACUAUAAACAUCCAUCCAUAUACAUUAUGCAGUUAAUCAUUCAAAUAUUCAUUUACAUGCACAGCGAUGCUAAUAAGCAGGCCUUAGUAUUUUCAUACGGUAGUCAAGGGCCAGGCUCUAUCAGUAUCUCAUGCUUCCUAUUAAUCCAACAAAUAACAACAUUCAUAAUUCAUUCCAGACAUACGAGCAUAUAAGCACAUAUACACAUUACCAGACCCUAAAUCGAGCUUGUCUCUAGCAGCGAAUGUACAUGUCCAGUCGGUCUUCAGGAACCCUUAAACCUAGGACGCUCUGAUACCAAGUUGUAAUGCCCUAGAUUUCCAAGAUCGCUACACUGUCUACUUAUAAAGGUGCAGGACUUGCUAAUCAAGUCAUUUAGUGAAAAAUGUGAUACAGAAACCACUACUGAACUAGGGUUAAAAGGUUUUGGUCUCAAAAAGGUACAUUUCAUAUAACUAAACAUAUUUAUACAUGGGAUCCCAAAAAGGAACAACGUUCAAAAGUCAUUUCACAAAAUUUCCAGAGUUCAAACAACCAAUAGCCACUCUAAGGGCAAAACAAACAUUUUUGGUUCUCCUGUUCCUGUCUCCCUCUCAACCGUGGCGGCUAAGUAGCUGAUCAUGUACAUUUUGCUCUCCGAGACAGGGCUGAUCAAUCUUGCCCUAGCCCUUACCUGCACCACGAAGCACCCAUUAGCAUAGGCCCAGCAAGAAAACAUAACAUUACAUAACAAGCAAUGAUAACAGUUGAAUAACCCUUUAAGCAUGUUCAUAUACUUAGCACACCACAAUGGUCACAAAACACGAAGAUUCAAUCAUAUAUUAAGCGAAUCAACACCCAGCUAUACAACAUAACAAUCUACAAAUUAAUAAUAACAAUCAAGUCACACAGUAAUCAGGGUCGACACCUUAAGUCGCACCCUCUGUUUAAUCCACUGAAUCCAGCCCGCUUAAACCGAGCUUAGUGCAUAAUAAGUUGUCCUCAGCUACCAGUGGCCGAGCCACGCCCUGUUCGCUAUUGUAAACUUCGGUACUCUUAGGCCAGUUAUUUACUAUUUUCAUGGCAUAAUACCAUCCUUCAUAAAGCAUACAAAUAGGGAACCCUUAGUCCCGUUAUAAAUCCAUAAUCGGAUGUAGUUUUCUUACCUUUAGUUUCCAAGUGUACUGAUUGUGCAAGAUGCCUCUUGAGCACGAUUCGUUUCCUGAGCCCCUAGCUUAUACCUAGUCACAACCAAGAUAAAGGAUACCAUUAAUGAUCGCAAAAGGGCUUCUAGAUAAAGUUCUAGUCUCUGGAACAUUGAAUUCCACCAAACACCGUAGUAGAUUCAAUCCCGAGCACCCUCGGUAAAAUUCCCAUGCUUAAAAUCCCAAAAUCCCUUAAGGGCUGCAGCUCAAGUCACCCAUGCCGCGGCAUAGCCCCCAAAAAAAUCCCAUUAGGGCUCAGAACUAGACACGGGCCAUGGCCCUACAAACCCCAUGUCGUGGGCCGCCCUCCUUCCUCAGCACAUUUCAGCUUCAGAGGGCCGCGACUCACCAAGAACUAUGUCGCGGCCCAACCCCUUUGAACCUAGAAAAACCACCAUUUUUUACUCCCAAAACUCACUUAAAACCAUCCAAAAUCAUCCCAAUUCCACAGCUCACUUAUCCCAAAAUUUUCACAUGAUUCCUGCAACACAACCCAACUGAAACUUAGCCUAGAAACUUUCCAAAAUCCCACUUCAAUCUCUGAAACUCACUUACUCAAGAACACUAAAACCAGCCAUAAAAACCCAGAAUUCAAACACUAAAUCACAAAUUAGAGCUUACCUUCUUUGAUGAACCAACUCCCUUAACAAUUUCUGAGCUAAAACCCAAGCUUUCUAGCUUCAAUUUAGUCCUUAAAUUUCAAAACCAUAAACACUUUAAAACCCAGCCAAAACAUAGAAUUAAUAACCAUGCACAAAGAUUAUAUCUUACCUCAGUUCUUGAUUGAACUCCUUAGCUGAACACUAGAAUAAUCCUUCAAGACUCCAGCCCAAACCGCUGAAUUCCCAGCUGAAUUCCUUAAGUUUUCUGUGGUUUUUCCUUGAGAGAGAAAGGAAGAAAGAGGGAGGGUUGGUUCCUUGUAUUCUACUAUGUUUUGAGAUUUUACUUAGUCUAUCCUUAGGUGAUUAAGUUAAUCCCAAGGCUCAGGGUGCCGGAAACGUCCUCGGGGGAAAAAUGGUAAAAUUCCCUAGUAUUCCCACCUAAGCUUCCUAACCUCAAAUAUAUCUCCAAUUAUUUAUUUCCAUAACCCGCUAAUCUAACUUAACCUUCCAAUACUUAAAAUACCCCUUGACUUGCCAAAAGUCAAGUAUUAAGCUCCGUUGUGACUUUCCCGCUAACUAGCUCCUUAGAAUCGCCUCAAGUCGCAUGCUGCAGAUUUACCCACAUAAUAAUGUGGAUCUCACAAUUAAAGCACAUAAUCACAUUUAUAUUCAUAUGACCAUACUAGCAUAUGCUUAUCAUAUAAUCAUGCAUUAAACUUAAUAAAUUCACACAUAAACCAAUUAUGCCCUCCCGGCACACUAAUCAAGGCCCGUAAGCCUUAUUAGUGAUUUUGGAUCGUUACAGCUGGUCCUAGAAAUAUUAUUUAAUAUAACCUAAGGUUUAGAUAGAAUAAUUAAGAGCAUGACACUUGUCACAAUGAUGUUUAAUAAGGAUUUAAGGAUUUUAGAUGAAUACUUUAAAUAAGGAUAAAUCUAUAAGCUCUAGAACCUUCCAGUAGCUGUUAGGAUCACGUUUUACUCAGUCAAAGUUGUUUUAAAAAACUUCAAGUGUGCUGAAAGUGUGUAAAAAUGUGCUUAAACACUACUACAAAUAUAGGCUUUCUCUGCGGUUUUUUUAAAACAAUAAAUAAAAAGCGCAGAGAAAAGAUUUGAAAGAGUCAAAAAAAUUAUAUUUAAUGUUCGCGCCCUAUUUUAUUGCGGUGUUAAAAAAAACACAGUGAAAGGUUCGAAUGACUCACUUUUCUCCGCGGUUUUGGGUCUAAAACCGCAGAGAAAAGUGUAGAACCUUUCCCCACUUUUCUCCGUGGUUCUAUACCCAAAAUUGCAGAGAAAAGUCACAAAAACCUAUUUUUCCCUCUCAUUUGCACAUCUUCUUCUCACGGGUAAGCCCCAUAUUGUCCAUACACGGCCGAAGCUCUCCCACCACCGUCCCUACCCACGGGAAAUAUUUGUUUGAGUGUGAGCUCACACUCAAGGUUGAAAUAUUUGUUCGAGGUUGAAAUUGGUGAAUAUUAAUUUUUAAGUAAGGGAAGCCAAGUUGUGUGGACCAGUUUGGGCGAGAUGGAUGUAUCCAUUUGAAAGAAGUAUGAAGGUGUUGAAAAGUUAUGUGUAUAAUCAUUAUCGUCCUGAAGCUAGUAUGGUUGAAUGUUAUAUAUCGGAAGAGGCAGUAGAAUUUUGCUCAGAAUACAUGAGUGGGGUUGAAGCAAUCGGAAUCAGCAAACCAUGAAAUAACUCAGAUGGAGUUGAUAAAGGACUACGAGGGAAUGGAACAGUGACCACCGUGUCUAGGGCAGAAUUAGAUCAAGCUCAAUUAGUUGUGUUGCAAAAUAAUCCUGAGAUUCAAUCAUAUAUAAUGUAAGUAGAAAAUAUAUUUCAAUCAUAUAUAUUAGAGUAGUGAUUUUCUUUUUGUUGUUUAAACUUUUUGUUAUUUCUUUUAUGUUUCAGUGAUCACAUAGAGUUAUUACGGUCGAUGAUUCCAAACAAGAUUAAAAAUAAAAAAAAUGGGUUAUAGAUGAGCAUAAUAAAACGUUUUGCCAGUGGCUGAAGAAUACAAUUUUGACGAAGUUGGGAGAAAAAAAUCAUGAACUGUCGACUGAGUUGAAGCGCAUAUCUCUUGGAGCAAGCAUUGAUGUAAUAAAGCAUCAAGCUUACAUUGUUGAAGGGAAACGAUUUCAUACUAAGUCAAGAGAUGAUGCUCGGCUGGUUCAAAAUAGUGGAGUAAGUGUAGUCGCAGAAGCUAUGCAUUUUUCCAGUGCAGAAGAUAAUAACCCAAUUUCAGGCACAAUGACAUACUACGGGGUUGUUGAAGAAAUAUGGGAGCUAGAUUAUUCAUUAUUUCGUAUUCCUCUUCUUCAAUGUUCUUGGGUAGACAACAAUACUGGAGUUAAAACUGACGAACUUGGAUUCACUCUGGUUGAUUUAAGCAAGAAGGGAAGCAAGAACGAUCCUUUUAUCAUGGCUGCCCAAGUGAAACAAGUGUUUUACAUUCUUGAUCCAGUUAAUGAUAAAUGGUCCAUUGUUUUAUCAGUUCCCGAGCGGAAGUUCUCAGAAAAAGAAGAGUACGAUGAAAAUUAUGAUUUAUAUCAUGACUGUUUCAUUGCCAAACAACCGAUACAUGAACAAGUUGAGAAUAUUCAGGAACAUGAUAAUGAAAGCGAUAGCGAUGAUCGUGAUUAUCUUAGAACCGACAUCGAAGAAGGAUCUAGAGUACGAGCCACGAUUUCUAUCAACUCAGGUGAUUAGAGGAAGGUCCCACAAGAUUUGAAAGACUGUCUAUGGGAGGAUAUCAUUGGUGGUCACAACAUUCCUCAAACCUUCAAACGUGAGAUUUUGAAAAAAGCUGGUCAAAUAAUGAGAGAUUUUAAAAGUGAACUCACUACCGAGUACAUAAAACCUUUGGCUGAAAUUGGUAUGAUGGAAGAGCUCAAAUUUCCCCCAAAGAGGUAUAGCGAUAUAAUUGACGAGAGAGAAUGGUUACAAUUUGUAACUAGUCGUCUAAGUCCAGAGUUUCAAAUAGUGCAUCAAGAACAAAAAAAGCGUGCAUUACUAAUAAAGUCAAGGCAUCGAACCUCUCGUAGAGGAAUGGCUAAUAUAAGAGAAGAUUUGAAAAAAGAACGAAAUAUUCAAAAUCCAGAGAGGUAUCAAGUUUGGCUUAGAUCGCGUGAAAAAAAUAAAGUUCUUGUGACAGAGCUAGACCGACAAAUUGCCAAAAAGAUAGUAAUUUUUAUAAGGUUUUAGAAUCAAUAUAUUGUUUUUAUUUAUAUAAACUAAUUUAACCAAAUAAUAUCUUGAGUAGGAGGACGUCAAAGAAAAAUUGAUUCGUGGCGAAAUUACAGCUCAGGGUCGAGAUGACAUCUUGACUCAAGCAUUAGGGACACUAGAACACCCAGGUCGUGUUCGAGCUGACGGGUUCACUGCGACCGUUUCCAAAAUGUUUGGAAAAAAACAUAAAACAAUGACUGCAAGAGAGGAGAUUGCUCGACUAAAAGCUGAGAUUGAAGAGCUAAAAAGACAUAAAUUUAGAACAGAAGAGGAAUUAGCUCAAAAUGAAGAAUAUAAUGAGGAAAACGAUGAGUGUGGAUACUACGAUGAGGGACAAUAUUAUGAGAAUACAAGUGAUGAAGUCUAUCAACCUGCCCCCAAUGUAGAUGAUCAUUUUUAUCAAACCGAAGACUAUCCUUUUAAUGAAGAUGAUGGAUCAUCAAUUUAUGAGUCUUCGCCACCACCGAGCUAUGAAGUUUAUUUGUGUUCUGAUAAUAUUGACAAUGUGGUGGCUAAGGGUGUACUCAUUGUACCAAACAUGGGUAGCCAAAUUACUGUCCAUAGAAAUGUACUUGAUGAUUCAGUUGCGAGGGUUUGGCUUAUAGAUGUCUUACAAGAAGAAGCUGAGAUCCCUAUUCCUUUUGGUAACGUAUGAUAUGUUGGGGACACACGAAACACAUUCCUGCCUUGGCCAAAAAAUUUAAUUGUGGCUUGUCAGGGUCCAUCUUCAUCUAAACACAAAUCCCUAUCACCAAGCCCACAUUUAUCAUCAGUUGGAUCUCACGUAGUCAUCCCCGCUGAAAUAACUCAACCAGAACCUUCAAAUUGGUUAACAGAUAACCAAUGGGACAAAAUUGUUCUGAGUCUAAAAUUUAUAGUGAAGGAGUAUUAUUCCAAUAAAGGAAUAGAUGGGGUUGUACAAGUUCCCGUUGACCCGGAGUUUAUAGGAGAACGCGAGGCUAUCUUCAUCACUUCGGAAGACGUUUAUCAAGCAGCCUCCAUGGAUAAUAUUGGAUCCUUAGCUAUACUGUUUGGUAUGAGAUGCAUUUGGGAAAGCAUGCACCCAAAUUCAUGACAAUUAUAUAAAUCUUUUGACACCGAACAUCUUUCUAUUGGCAAUGAUGAAAGUAAAAACUAUACGGUGGAUCUUAUAGCCAAAUGGAUGAUGACUAUGGAUAGACGAGGCCAAAUAUAUUUCAUUCCUUGGAUUGUUGAUCGACAUUGGAUGUUGGUGCUCGUGAUGAUGCGGGGGAUGACCAUAAUUUUGGAUCCUUUAAAAAAUCAUAAAUCUCCACCAAUAAUUACGGAGGUUAUGGGAAAAGCAUACGCACAAUGUUUGGAAAAUGAAUACAUCGGCACAUUUACAAAAUUGUGGUUUGACAAAAAACAAUUCAAUGUCAAAGAGGAUCUACUACCACUACAAAGUGAUUGGUUAGCUAGAUUAAUGCCAUUUUUUUAUGAAAUCUAAAUUUUUGUAUGUAUGUAAGAUUAAAGUGCUAACUUAUAUUGGCUAGAAUGAUUAAAGUCUUUGAUUCAUUACUAGCCAAUUAUUUUGUAUUAGAUAUGAAAUGUAUAUAUAACAAUUUAACAAAUUAGUUAUACUAUUGAAAAUAAUUAUG